UACGUAGGGUGCGAGCGUUAAUCGGAAUUACUGGGCGUAAAGCGUGCGCAGGUGGUUUGUUAAGUCAGAUGUGAAAGCCCUGGGCUUAACCUAGGAAUUGCGUUUGAAACUGGCGAGCUAGAGUCUGUCAGAGGGGGGUAGAAUUCCAUGUGUAGCAGUGAAAUGCGUAGAGAUGUGGAGGAAAAUCGAUGGCGAAGGCAGCCCCCUGGGAUAAGACUGACGCUCAUGCACGAAAGCGUGGGGGAGCAAACAGGAUUAGAUACCCUGGUAGUCCACGCCCUAAGCGAUGUCGACUGGUUGUUGGGCAACUUGAUUGUUCAGUAACGAAGCUAACGCGAGAAGUCGACCGCCUGGGGAGUACGGUCGCAAGAUUAAAACGUC
rnacentral:rRNA from 1 species